CGACGCUGGCGGCACGCCUAACACAUGCAAGUCGAACGCAGUAGCAAUACUGAGUGGCGAACGGGUGAGUAUAAUGUGGGUAUCUGCCUUUUGGUUUGGAAUAACACGAGGAAACUUGUGCUAAUACCGGAUAAGCCCUUACGGGGAAAGUUUUAACGCCAAAAGAUGAGCCCGCACUUGAUUAGCUAGUUGGUAAGGUAAUGGCUUACCAAGGCUACGAUCAAUAGCUGAUCUGAGAGGAUGAUCAGCCACAUUGGGACUGAGACACGGCCCAGACUCCUACGGGAGGCAGCAGUGGGGAAUCUUGCACAAUGGGGGAAACCCUGAUGCAGCGAUGCCGCGUGAGUGAAGAAGGCCUUUGGGUUGUAAAGCUCUUUCGUCGGGGAAGAAAAUGACUGUACCCGAAUAAGAAGGUCCGGCUAACUUCGUGCCAGCAGCCGCGGUAAUACGAAGGGACCUAGCGUAGUUCGGAAUUACUGGGCUUAAAGAGCUCGUAGGUGGUUAGAAAAGUUGGUGGUGAAAUCCCAAGGCUUAACCUUGGAACUGCCACCAAAACUUUUUGACUAGAGUGUGAUAGAGGAAAGUGGAAUUUCUAGUGUAGAGGUGAAAUUCGUAGAUAUUAGAAAGAACACCAAUUGCGAAGGCAACUUUCUGGAUCAUUACUGACACUGAGGAGCGAAAGCAUGGGUAGCGAAGAGGAUUAGAUACCCUCGUAGUCCAUGCCGUAAACGAUGUGUGCUAGACGUUGGAAAUUUAGUUUUCAGUGUCGCAGCAAAAGCGUUAAGCACACCGCCUGGGGAGUACGACCGCAAGUAACCUGAAUGAUGCG
rnacentral:rRNA from 1 species